rnacentral:rRNA from 1 species
AUUGAACGCUGGCGGCAGGCCUAACACAUGCCAGUCGAGCGAGCGGCGGACGGGUGAGUAAUGUAUGGGGACUGCCCGAUAGAGGGGGAUAACUACUGGAAACGGUGGCUAAUACCGCCUACCAUAGGAUAACCCAUAUGGGAUUCGCUAGUAGGUGGGGUAAAGUCUCACCUAGGCGACGCUCUCUAGCUGGUCUGAUAGGAGGAUCAGCCACACUGGGACUGAGACACGGCCCAGACUCCUACGGAGGCAGCAGUGGGGAAUAUUGAACAAUGGGCGCAAGCCUGAUGCAGCCAUGCCGCGUGUAUGAAGAAGGCCUUAGGGUUGUAAAGUACUUUCAGCGGGGAGGCGUUACCCGCAGAAGAAGCACCGGCUAACUCCGUGCCAGCCGCCGCGGUAAUAC